rnacentral:rRNA from 1 species
AAUGAACGCUGACAGAAUGCUUAACACAUGCAAGUCUUUGGCGAAGCUGUGCUUGCACAGCCUAGCCAAGGCGGACGGGUGAGUAACGCGUAAGGAACUUGCCCUGCAGUCAGGGAUAACAGACGGAAACGACUGAUAAGACCUGGUAAAGUCAGGCGGACUCAUGUCCAGCCUGAUGAAAAGAGAUGCUGCAGGAGAGCCUUGCGUCCUAUUAGCUUGUUGGUGGGGUAACGGCCCACCAAGGCGAUGAUAGGUAGCCGGCCUGAGAGGGUGGACGGCCACAAGGGGACUGAGAUACGGCCCUUACUCCUACGGGAGGCAGCAGUGGGGAAUAUUGGACAAUGGGGGCAACCCUGAUCCAGCAAUUCUGUGUGCACGAUGAAGGUUUUCGGAUUGUAAAGUGCUUUCAGCAGGGAAGAAAAAAAUGACGGUACCUGCAGAAGAAGCGACGGCUAAAUACGUG